rnacentral:lncRNA from 1 species
AGCCCACGGGAAGUGACGCACGCUGCCACGAGGUCAGCGUCCUCCGCCGAGCGCGGCCCUCGCUACAAAGGACUCGCCCCUCUGGCCGCCGACUCUCUCGAAUCUGUCUCAUCUCUCUUGACUCGGCUGCCCUGGUCCUUAAUCGCUGCGCCCCAGCUCCCUCGCGCUGGAGCCUAGACCUGGCCCGGGCUCGCGUAGUGCGGCCUGCGCGUCGCCCGGACUCGACCUCCCCCCCGGGGUGACGCACUUCCGGCGCGACGGAGCCGCGGAGACGGCAGGCCCUCCCGACCCGCAGCGGUGCCGGCGCAGGAAGAAUGGCGAGCUCCUUCCCCCGGCGCCGCGGCGGGGCGGAAGAAAGCCGACCUGCUGGCUUCCCGACCUUUUGAGCCAAGAGACCUCUUCCACAAGCUUCCUCAGGGCCAGGUUCUCGAGCGACACUCUGAAGGUGGCGUUUUUAAUCAGCAGGUGGGCGCCGAGGAAGCAGGCCUGUGGCGGCCAACGGUAGGAAACCUCCGGCCGCGACCGGCGGGUCCUGGCGGCCGCUGCGCGCCCCUCGAGCCCGGCCUGCCUGGCCUCGUUUCGCACAGAGCUCUCCAGCCCCAAGUUACCGUCCCCGAGCCUCGCUUGAGCCGAGCUUGGCCGUCUGCUCACGCCAGUGCCUGUGCAUUGCUGAGAACCCAGCUCCAGCCUGGGGACCUGGACCAAGAAAUUUCAGUCUUUGCAUGGUUGGAGGCAUGAUAGAACGGCCUGGCCAGAAGAAAACUGCUCAUCUCAUGGCAGAUAGGAAGCAAGAGAGAAGAAAAGGAGGAGCUGGGGAGGGAGAUACACCCUUCUAGAUCAUACCGCCAGGACCUACCUCUUCCAAUCAGACCCCACCUUGCAAUAAGGGGGAAAAAAAAGAAAGAAGAGGGGAGAACACUGAGAUACUCGGAGACACACAGGGAAGAAACCCAUAUGACAAGAGGCAGAGGUGGAGUCAUAGAGCUUCAAGCCCAGAAGCCAGUUGCCAGCAGCCACCAGAAACUAAGAUACCCGUGAACCUUGUUCUUCCCAGAGCCUCAGAGCAAGCUCUGCCUCCCUGGCACCUUGACCCUAGCCUCUGGAAGAGGUGAGAGAGUAUUUUGUAUUUCCACUGCUUUAAGUCACCUCAGUUUUGGCUUUAUUACUGCAGCCU